AUUGAACGCUGGCGGCAGGCCUAACACAUGCAAGUCGAGCGGAUGAAGGGUGCUUGCUCCUGGAUUCAGCGGCGGAAGGGUGAGUAAUGCCUAGGAAUAUGCCUGGUAGUGGGGGAUAACGUCCGGAAACGGGCGCUAAUACUGCAUACGUCCUGCGGGAGCAAGUGGGGGAUGUUCGGACCUCACGCUAUCAGAUGAGCCUAGGUCGGAUUAACUAGUUGGUGGGGUAAAGGCCUACCAAGGCGACGAUCCGUAACUGGUCUGAGUGGAGGAUCAGUCACACUGGAACGUGGACACGGUCCAUGGGCCUAAGGGAGGCAGCAGUGGGGAAUAGUAGACAGUGGUCGGAAGCCUUGUCCAGCCAGGCCGCGUGUGUUGAGGAGGUCUUCGGAUUGUAAAGCACUUUAAGUUGGGAGGAAGGGCAGUAAGUUAAUACCUUGCUGUUUUGACGUUACCAACAGAAGAAGCACCGGCUAACUUCGUG
rnacentral:rRNA from 1 species